CAGGCACCAGACAGAGUGGGUCAGAGUGACGCCGUGUAUGAGGUGUUGAGUCUUCAGAGGGAGGCGGAGAGAAGCAAUGAGGAAAGAGGACAACUGGCCUCGCCCACUGAGGAAGAGGAGGCUGAUGAAGAUAGUGACAGUGAAAUCUCAAGUGGUACAGGAGAUGUUUCCAAAGACUGUCCUGAGAAAAUCCUAGAGUCCUGGGGAGGAAUCCUCAACCGAUGGCAUGGAAACCUGUCCACUCGUCCAAAGGGUUUGUCCUCACUGGUUCGCAGUGGCAUUCCUGAGCCACUCAGAGCUGAAGUCUGGCAGUUACUGUCUGGUUGCCAUGACAGCCACGAGCUGCUUGAGCAGUACCGCAUCCUCAUCACAAAGGACUCAGCCCAGGAAGGAGUCAUCACACGGGACAUCCACCGCACUUUCCCUGCACAUGACUACUUCAAGGAUUCUGAUGGAGAUGGACAGGAUUCACUGUAUAAGAUCUGCAAGGUUAGUCUGGGAUUG